rnacentral:rRNA from 1 species
UACGUAGGGGGCAAGCGUUGUCCGGAAUCAUUGGGCGUAAAGAGCGUGUAGGCGGUCCGGUAAGUCGGCUGUGAAAGUCCAGGGCUCAACCCUGGGAUGCCGGUCGAUACUGCCGGACUAGAGUUCGGAAGAGGCGAGUGGAAUUCCCGGUGUAGCGGUGAAAUGCGCAGAUAUCGGGAGGAACACCUAUGGCGAAGGCAGCUCGCUGGGACGUUACUGACGCUGAGACGUGAAAGCGUGGGGAGCAAACAGG